CACCAGAUUCCUGGCUCCUGAGAACACUGUGUGUCUCGCUCAGUGCAGCAUCCCGGCUUCCAGCACCAGGCCCACCGCGCACACUACACAGCAUUCAGAACUCCCCCAGCCAGGGACUGAACCCAUGCCCCACUGCAGUGGAAGUUAACCACUGGACCACCAGGGAAGUCCGUACGUGUCAACUUGACUGGGCUAAGAGAUGCCUAGGGAGCAGCGCUCUAUGUCAGCACGAAGAAGUUACAGGAGAUGGACCUCUGCCCCUAAUCUCACAGAAGUGGAAUGAUGUCUGACACGUGGGGAUUUGUAAGCAUCUCAUUUGCCUCUUCGCUGUUUAUCUAUUUCUGUUCCCCUUAAACCUUAAUCGUAAAAAUGAGAU